GACAGAGGAUGCAAGCGUUAUCCGGAAUGAUUGGGCGUAAAGCGUCUGUAGGUGGCUUUUUAAGUCCGCCGUCAAAUCCCAGGGCUCAACCCUGGACAGGCGGUGGAAACUACCAAGCUGGAGUACGGUAGGGGCAGAGGGAAUUUCCGGUGGAGCGGUGAAAUUCGUAGAUAUUCGGAAGAACACCAGUGGCGAAGGCGGCUAACUGGCCCAUUACUGACGCUGAGGCUCGAAAGCGUGGGGAGCAAACAGG
rnacentral:rRNA from 1 species